UUAAGAAUCUUGGACAAUGGACGAAAGUCUGAUCCAGCGACGCCGCGUGAAUGAUGAAGGUUUUCGGAUUGUAAAGUUCAGUAAGCAGGGAAGAAUAAAUGACGGUACCUGCCUAAAGCAUCGGCUAAAUACGUGCCAGCAGCCGCGGUAAUACGUAUGAUGCAAGCGUUGUUCGGAAUUAUUGGGCGUAAAGGGCAUUCAGGCGGGAUACUAAGUCGGGUGUGAAAUCUGGAGGCUCAACCUCCAAACUGCAUUCGAAACUGGUAUUCUUGAGUCAGGGAGAGGAAGGCGGAAUUCCCAGUGUAGCGGUGAAAUGCGUAGAUAUUGGGAAGAACACCGGUGGCGAAGGCGGCCUUCUGGCCUAUGACUGACGCUGAAGUGCGAAAGUGUGGGGAUCAAA
rnacentral:rRNA from 1 species